rfam:Picea glauca, whole genome shotgun sequence.
ACAUGCCUACAACAUAGCGUUAAUGCAACGGAUCCCAUUAGAAAUCUGUAGUUAAGUGCACUUGGGCUAGAGUAGUACUGGGAUGGGUGACCACCUGGGAAGUACUAGUAUUUUACAUGCC